UUUGUUAGGUGAUGGCGUGCCUUUUGAAGAAUGAGCCUGCGAGUCAGCGGCAUGUCGCGAGGUUAACCCGUGUGGGGUAGUCGUAGCGAAAGCGAAUCCUAAUGAGGGUGUUUGUUAGUGGCAUGUCCUGGACCCGAAGCGGGGUGAUCUACCCAUGGCCAGUGUGAAGCAGCUGUAAGAGGUUGUGGAGGCGCGAACCCACUUAGGUUGAAAACUGAGGGGAUGAGCUGUGGGUAGGGGUGAAAGGCCAAUCAAACUCCGUGAUAGCUGGUUCUCCCCGAAAUGCAUUUAGGUGCAGCGUUGUGUGUUUCUUGCUGGAGGUAGAGCUACUGGUUGGUUGAGCGGGACUACAAUCUUAGCAAUGUCAGCCAAACUCCGAAUGCCGGUAAUGUUAAGCAUGGCAGUGAGACUGCGGGGGAUAAGCUCCGUUGGUCGAGAGGGAAACAGCCCAGAUCGCCGGUUAAGGCCCCUAAGGGUGUACUAAGUGGAAAAGGAUGUGGGAUCGCGAAGACAGCCAGGAGGUUGGCUUAGAAGCAGCCAUCCUUGAAAGAGUGCGUAAUAGCUCACUGGUCGAGUGGUUCUGCGCCGACAAUGUAGUGGGGCUCAAGUACACCGCCGAAGCCGCGGCAGUCAACAAUGUGUUUUGUUGGUUGGGUAGGGGAGCGUCGUGCACUGCUGUGAAGCACCUGGGUGACUUGAUGGUGUGGAGUGUGUGCGAGUGAGAAUGCAGGCAUGAGUAACGAAUGAAAAGUGGAAAACUUUUCCGCCGGAUGACUAAGGGUUCCUGGGUUAAGCUAAUCUUCCCAGGGUGAGUCGGGACCUAAGGCGAGGCCGACAGGCGUAGUCGAUGGAUAACCAGUUGAUAUUCUGGUACCCGUGUAUGUGCGCCCAGUGGUGAAUCAGUGGUACUAACCAUCCAUUGAUCUGCUGGUCAUGCUUUGUGUGUGGUUGGUGGUGAUGUGCGUGGGAUCUUCGUUGGUAGUAGCCAAGUGAUGGGGUGACGCAGUGAGGUAGCUGAGCCAUUUAUUGGAUUGUGGUGUAAGCGUGUGGCCCGUGGCAUAGGUAAAUCCGUGUUACAUAGUGGGUGAGGCGUGAUGCGUAGACCUUUGUGGUUGAUGUUGGUGAUCCUGUACUGUCGAGAAAAGCCUCUAGCGAGUGCAUAUAUGGCCCGUACCCAUAACCGACACAGGUGGUCAGGUAGAGAAUACUAAGGCGAUCGGGUGAACUGUGGUUAAGGAACUCGGCAAAUUGCCCCCGUAACUUCGGGAGAAGGGGGACCAUUGCUGGUGACCGACGUGGUUGAGCUGGUGGUGGUCGCAGAGAAUAGAGGGAAGCGACUGUUUAUUAAAAACACAGGUCCGUGCGAAAACGUGGAAGUUGAUGUAUACGGACUGACGCCUGCCCGGUGCUGGAAGGUUAAGAGGACCUGUUAGGGCAUUGUUGUCCGAAGCGGAGAAUUUAAGCCCCAGUAAACGGCGGUGGUAACUAUAACCAUCCUAAGGUAGCGAAAUUCCUUGUCGGGUAAGUUCCGACCUGCACGAAUGGCGUAACGACUUCCCUGCUGUCUCAACCACAGGCCCGGUGAAAUUGCAGUACGAGUAAAGAUGCUCGUUACGCGCGGCAGGACGAAAAGACCCCGGGACCUUCACUAUAGCUUGGUAUUGGUGUUUGGUUCGGUUUGUGUAGGAUAGGUGGGAGACUGUGAAGUGGUCACGCUAGUGGUUGUGGAGUCGAAAGUUGAAAUACCACUCUGAUCGGAUUGAGCACCUUAACCUUGGCCCAUGAUCUGGGUUGGGGACAGUGCCUGGUGGGUAGUUUAACUGGGGCGGUUGCCUCCUAAAGUGUAACGGAGGCGCCCAAAGGUUCCCUCAGCCUGGUUGGCAAUCAGGUGGUGAGUGUAAGUGCACAAGGGAGCUUGACUGUGAGACUGACAGGUCGAGCAGGGACGAAAGUCGGGACUAGUGAUCCGGCACCUACUUGUGGAAGUGGUGUCGCUCAACGGAUAAAAGGUACCCCGGGGAUAACAGGCUGAUCUUCCCCAAGAGUCCAUAUCGACGGGAUGGUUUGGCACCUCGAUGUCGGCUCGUCGCAUCCUGGGGCUGGAGUAGGUCCCAAGGGUUGGGCUGUUCGCCCAUUAAAGCGGCACGCGAGCUGGGUUUAGAACGUCGUGAGACAGUUCGGUCUCUAUCCGCCGCGCGCGUUGAAACUUGAAGAAGGCUGUCCCUAGUACGAGAGGACCGGGACGGACGUACCUCUAGUGUGCCAGUUGUCACGCCAGUGGCAGGGCUGGUUGGCUACGUACGGGAGGGAUAACCGCUGAAAGCAUCUAAGCGGGAAGCCUGUUUUGAGAUGAGGUUUCUUUUGAGGUUCCCUCUAGACUAGGGGGUUGAUAGGCCAGAUCUGGAAGCGUAGUAAUGCGUUAAGGUGACUGGUACUAAUUUUACCGAGUAAUAACAGUGU
rnacentral:rRNA from 1 species